UACGUAGGGUGCGAGCGUUAAUCGGAAUUACUGGGCGUAAAGCGUGCGCAGGCGGUUCGUUAAGUCUGAUGUGAAAGCCCCGGGCUCAACCUGGGAAUGGCAUUGGAAACUGGCGGGCUCGAGUAUGGCAGAGGGGGGUGGAACUCCACGUGUAGCAGUGAAAUGCGUAGAGAUGUGGAAGAACACCGAUGGCGAAGGCAGCCCCCUGGGUCAAUACUGACGCUCAGGCACGAAAGCGUGGGGAGCAAACAGG
rnacentral:rRNA from 1 species